rnacentral:rRNA from 1 species
AUUGAACGCUGGCGGCAGGCCUCACACAUGCAAGUCGAGCGAGCGGCGGACGGGUGAGUAAUGUAUGGGGACUGCCCGAUAGAGGGGGAUCACUACUGGAAACGGUAGCUAAUCCCGCAUACUAUCGGAUAACCCAUAUGGGAUUAGCUAGUCGGUGAGGUAAUGGCUCACCUAGGCGACGAGCCCUAGCUGGUCUGAGAGGAUGAUCAGCCACACUGGGACUGAGACACGGCCCAGACUCCUACGGAGGCAGCAGUGGGGAAUAUUGCACAAUGGGCGAAAGCCUGAUGCAGCCAUGCCGCGUGUAUGAAGAAGGCCCUAGGGUUGUAAAGUACUUUCAGUCGGGAGGCGUUACCGACAGAGGAAGCACCGGCUAACUCCGUGCCAGCAGCCGCGGUAAUUC